CUCUCCCAGAUGUGUAGCCCUGCUCCUUCCCCAGGCAGCUCCCUUUGCAGCUCUUGCCCACUUGUGGUGUGUGAUAGUGGGAUCUGAAGCCAUCAGGAAGGCUCUUGCCUUGUUCUUCCUCAAAACAAACAAACAAGAAGUCAAGAUGAAGCAUGACUAACUUGGAAAAAAUUAAUAAAAACAGAAACCGGAUUUUUGCAGUGGGGCAGGAGAGGAUGGGCACACCUGCUGCUCUGUUGCAGUGCCACCCAGCUUGCCCAGGGGGCUGCUGCUAAUUCUGUCUUUUUGGGCCUUUGCACGAGCAUUUCUGCCUUGGCUUGUGUUAGGGACAAGGGCUCAGAGUUGUCUGGCAGGCCAAGGAAAGAACCUAAGGUGUAACCUCUGAUUUCUGGCCCCUCUGAUGAUCACAGCAUUUAAGUAGGUUGUUAAUUGGGUUGUUUUUUUUUCUGUUUGUUUGUUUUGUCUAAUGGCAGGUGCUCAUAUAUGAAAAUUUUGGCCAAACAUCUGUUGGGAUGUAAAUACAGAAGGAGUAUUUGCCUGCUGGCUGCAUUACCUGUGUAGGAACAAGAAGGCAGAUGGGAGUGUUCUGUUACGCAUAACAGGACUCAGGCUUCCCUUAAUGACCUCAUCCUGCUAACCCUGAAAAGGAAAUCCAAAGACCAUCUGCCAGAAGGAAACCCAGGUCAAAAUGAAGUGGUGGCAUGCGACAGCAGGUCCCAUGCACAGCAGGAGGAGCAGAACGGAGACAAGUGUUAUGCAGGGUCCUACGCCAAAUUUGGACAGGGGGAAUGUAAGUGAUCUAAGAAUUGGGAAUGCUCAGACACAAAAAGAAAAAAGAAUAAUUGACACAAUGUGCAAUCGAUCUCUGGGCACCAGCGUUGCAGGAUAUUACAAGUACGAAUAGCAGACAGUUGGCUGAAAGACUGAGAAGACUGCCAGACACCAAUAUUAAAUGAAAAUGUCAUCUAGGUAAGAUAAAAAUAAAUCCAUCUAGCUUUAUUCA
rnacentral:lncRNA from 1 species